rnacentral:rRNA from 1 species
AGUGAACGCUGGCGGUAGGCCUAACACAUGCAAGUCGAACGGCAGCACAGUAAGAGCUUGCUCUUACGGGUGGCGAGUGGCGGACGGGUGAGGAAUACAUCGGAAUCUACUUUUUCGUGGGGGAUAACGUAGGGAAACUUACGCUAAUACCGCAUACGACCUACGGGUGAAAGCAGGGGAUCUUCGGACCUUGCGCGAUUGAAUGAGCCGAUGUCGGAUUAGCUAGUUGGCGGGGUAAAGGCCCACCAAGGCGACGAUCCGUAGCUGGUCUGAGAGGAUGAUCGGCCACACUGGAACUGAGGCACGGUCCAGACUCCUACGGAAGGCAGCAGUGGGGAAUAUUGGACAAUGGGCGCAAGCCUGAUCCAGCCAUACCGCGUGAGUGAAGAAGGCCUUCGGGUUGUAAAGCCCUUUUGUUGGGAAAGAAAAGCAGCAGGUUAAUACCCCGCUGUUCUGACGGUACCCAAAGAAUAAGCACCGGCUAACUUCGUG